GUCGAACGAUGAAGCCCUUCGGGGUGGAUUAGUGGCGAACGGGUGAGUAACACGUGGGCAAUCUGCCCUUCACUCUGGGACAAGCCCUGGAAACGGGGUCUAAUACCGGAUAAUACUCCUGCCUGCAUGGGUGGGGGUUGAAAGCUCCGGCGGUGAAGGAUGAGCCCGCGGCCUAUCAGCUUGUUGGUGGGGUAAUGGCCCACCAAGGCGACGACGGGUAGCCGGCCUGAGAGGGCGACCGGCCACACUGGGACUGAGACACGGCCCAGACUCCUACGGGAGGCAGCAGUGGGGAAUAUUGCACAAUGGGCGAAAGCCUGAUGCAGCGACGCCGCGUGAGGGAUGACGGCCUUCGGGUUGUAAACCUCUUUCAGCAGGGAAGAAGCGAAAGUGACGGUACCUGCAGAAGAAGCGCCGGCUAACUACGUGCCAGCAGCCGCGGUAAUACGUAGGGCGCAAGCGUUGUCCGGAAUUAUUGGGCGUAAAGAGCUCGUAGGCGGCUUGUCACGUCGGAUGUGAAAGCCCGAGGCUUAACCUCGGGUCUGCAUUCGAUACGGGCUAGCUAGAGUGUGGUAGGGGAGAUCGGAAUUCCUGGUGUAGCGGUGAAAUGCGCAGAUAUCAGGAGGAACACCGGUGGCGAAGGCGGAUCUCUGGGCCAUUACUGACGCUGAGGAGCGAAAGCGUGGGGAGCGAACAGGAUUAGAUACCCUGGUAGUCCACGCCGUAAACGUUGGGAACUAGGUGUUGGCGACAUUCCACGUCGUCAGUGCCGCAGCUAAC
rnacentral:rRNA from 1 species